AAUUUAUUGCAAAGCAGGUAUGGAACUUGGAAGCAAAUUUCACAAUCAUUCAUUUCAAACAAAAGGCGGGUUUAGCAAUGAAGUUUUAAAAUAAUUUUUUCAUUUGUUACAAAAGCAAUUAAACUUGAUUUGAGGAGUAGAGAAAUUGGUGGAGAGUAUUUUGGAGGCCACAAUUGCAUUGGCAGCUUCAGUGUAAUGAACUCCAUCCCAGCUUAUAUAUUUUGAUCCUUGCUCGCACACGUUGUGACCCCUUACCCCGCACGUAACAUUCCUAUUAUAGUUGUAUGGCGCUCCUCCAUACCCACAGCACGCCAUUAAUGCAUUCUCAAAUCCUGCAAGUGUCUUAAAAGUAAUCAUGCGUGGUACCUAAUUCAUUUCUUGGUUUUUCAGGAUUAGUUAAUGUUAUGGAAAAGCUUCAGUUGAAUCCCUUACCGUAGGUACCAGCAUUGGCAAAUAGGUCGUACUUGAUGGAGUAUAUAUCCACAUAGACCAUGGUGCUAUCCUCCAAGUCUGAUCUAAGUUUUUCACAUAAUGCUUUCAGCUGCUUAUUAAAUUCCUUAGCUGCCUCAUUAAGAUGUUUUAGGCACCCACGUUCAUCAAAAUCGCUUUCUUUCUUCUCAGUUAUGGAAAGUUCUCGGGGCAAACAACCCAGAGGCCCUGUAUUGUGUACCCAGAAGUUCCUCCCUCCAUGCUGAUAUAUCCCCUGGAUAGCAUAGUCGAUUUCAUUGAUGAUGGAUGGUAUUUUUUCUAUAACUUCGUCAUACGACAGAUGUUCAAAUGAACCAGCCAGAUCGUUUUGUCCAAUGUCCAUUAUGUAAAGUGCAUCUUUGAAAUCUUUCUCGCUAACCAAGUCUCUGUAGCCUUUGGAUAUUAGCUCUGGAGAGCGAUUUCGAAAGUGAAUGAACUGAAGUACUUGAACAUCCAAGCUAAAAGGUUUGAAUCUAGGAGAAGUUGCUGCACCACUAAAGGCAAAAUUAGCUCCAUAUCUGAAAUUUGCUCCUAGAGGUUCAAGAUAUGGUGUCAAGUAAUCAGAGUUCAAACUUUCACAUAGAAAAUCAAUAAUCAAACGUCCAUCACAUAACCGGCCAGAUGGCCUGUUGAAGUAUGUGCGUCCGUUGGGAGCUCCAAAAAUCAUACCCAGGCCAGAAAAAUAUGCACCAGUGUCGGUGUUGGAGUCACCAAAGGUGAACACCACCGGACUUCUGUUGCAUUGAGACUGAACGAGAAAUGGGAGGAAGCUGCAUAAAAUAGCAAGAAGAAAUUCUUUUGUUCGCAUAUCCAUUUUACUUGGCUUUGAUUUGGGAAUUACUAGGAGGUCUAUUUAUAUACCCACAAACAUUAUAUAAUGCAGUUAUAGAAUCAUAAUAAUUUGUUAUAAUUAAUUAUAGUAUAAAUGAACAAACAAAAUAUUUACAAGGUAAGCAAGAGAGUAGUUUAUUAUGAUAAUAGCAAAUUGUUACUGUGUCAAUUUAAGUUUACAUAAACAUGUGAACUAUUAGAUUGCAAGCAAAAGCAACAUUUUGGCAAAUUGGCAUUUGGGCACAUACACCCUCUUGGAGUUUCACCGCCUGAUGUGCCGUUCAUUAUUUUAAACCCCUUUCACAUCAACCUUACUAGUAAGUAGUAACCACUUCACUUCCAAGCAGCAGAACCAGAGGGUGAAAGUUAUUUGCAUAACAAGCAAAAAGAUGAUGCCCAAAUAAACAGAUGGUUAUGGGUAAAUUUACCUUACCUGGCCAUUAAUUUGAUGGAAACAAGUUCAAAUGCUGGCCCAGACAGAAGCAUGUCACGAGAACUGGGCAAUUACUCACAUUUUUGGCUUAUUUGGCGAGUGAUUCCAGUGGUUUUUGAUAUGAAGCCCGUGAAGAAACCCGUGAAAGGCAACCAAUUAUUUGGCCACCAAGGAAGCAUGAAUUGGGUUCUGAAUGCUGUUGAUGUAUAUGUCAGUACUCUCAGGACUGACUGGAAGCGACACUUACAAAGCAAGCAAUGAUUUAGAGUAGGAAUUGAGCCACUCAAAAUCCCUCCUAUAAAUUUCAAAUGUCAUGAUAUAUUAGUCUUUACUAUUGAUGUUUCCACUAUGAGUGUUUCCUAUGACUCAGAUAAU
rnacentral:misc_RNA from 1 species